UACGUAGGUGGCAAGCGUUGUCCGGAAUUAUUGGGCGUAAAGCGCGCGCAGGCGGUUUCUUAAGUCUGAUGUGAAAGCCCCCGGCUUAACCGGGGAGGGUCAUUGGAAACUGGGAGACUUGAGUGCAGAAGAGGAAAGUGGAAUUCCAAGUGUAGCGGUGAAAUGCGUAGAGAUCCGGAGGAACACCGACGGCGCAGGCAGCGUCCUGGCCGCUUGCUGACACUGAGGCACGAAAGCUGGGGGAGCAAACAGG
rnacentral:rRNA from 1 species